CUCUAAAUACCAAGAUAGAGUCCACCUCUAAAUACCAAGAUAGAGUCAAUUCCUACCAAAAAUACAACUAAAUAAUACCAAAUAUCAUAAUUAUACCAAAAAAUACUGUUUUAAGGAUUUCUAUAUGGUAUGAUAAUUGAUAUAGGUGAUUGAGAGAAGCACCUGUUUUCUGUUUUGGAUUUUGAGAAUGAGCACUAGUGCUUUGGUUGCGGAGAAAGUGUGGAAUGAUAUUGAAUCAACUCAUUCAGUCAGCGAUGAACAACUCUCAACAUUGCAUUUCUUGUUUGGCAAAAAUUUGGAGCGAGCAAUGACAAUAGUUGAUCAAAGAGGUGUAAAAAGGAUUUUAGGUCACCCCAGUGGCCGUUCCAUCUUUCAGGUUGUAAGUGAGUCAAAGAGGAAGGAGGAAUAUUUAUGCUUUCCACAACAUUAUUGUGCUUGUUAUUCCUUCUUCUAUGACAUUGUAAACAGAGGGGAACAACUUUGUUGUAAGCAUCAAUUAGCUGCUAGACUUGCUUCUUCCUUGGGAACAUGUAUUGAUGUUAAAAUGUCUGACCACGACCUUGCUCUCAUGCUCUCACACCUUUGAAUCUCCAGCUUGCAUGCACCUUGACUAGUCCACCGGAUACCUACAAACUGGGUAACUCUGCUCUCUCAUGCACCUUGACUAGUCCACCGGAUACCUACAAACUGGGUAACUCUGCCCUCUCAUGCUUAAUCAAAUGGGAAGAAAUCAAGUCUUUUUGUAUCUGUUUGGGUUUCAGAUUUGAAUCCUGGUCUUUAAUUCAUUGACCCCUAGGCCAGAUUCUCGGUUACAAGUGUACAAAUGAUAACCAUGAUCAGUGACCUACUUUGUGGGAUUUCACUGUGUAUGUUGUUUGUGUUGAUCAAUGACCUACUUAUGCCUCUUAAUUACUUCCUACCAUUUCAGAUGUAGAGAUUUAAAUUGAAGUUUCGUUUUUGGCCUCAGAAUGAAGCAACUGUCAAAUACCUUACACAUUCUUGUUUGUUGGAAAAUAUUAGUCCUGGACAGAGAUUGAGUCCAUCACUUCACCUCUUGACUGCUUAAGAUGAUACUGUUAUUCAUUCUCUUGGAUACAUCUCUUAAGAUGACAUAGACGUGGAGAUCCUUAAAACCUUAGAGAAGAAGCCAAUGAACCAGAAAAGGAGUUGAAGUAGGAUUAAGCAAAAUCUGUUUACUGCAUGGCCAAUUCUACGCAGAGACAGGUUGAAGAAACAUCUUGUUCUAAAAGAAAUGCAACCAUCAUAUGCUUUUAUAGUUCUCAACGAUGAUAAUUUGGACUUGGGAAUUACUGCUUUGUUUUAAGAGGACUACAUUCUUUUGGAACUUACAACAAAGUAAUCAGAAAUGUACUUUUAACUAUGUUGCCAAAAGAGGGAUCAGUAUCUGAUCUCAUUUGUUUGGUUGAUGUAAAUAGUAAAGAUAACAUCUAAAUUUGUCAAUAUUCCAGAAAAUUAUUCUUGUUAUACAUAGAUAUUAUCAGAUGAGGAAUCACUUUGUAUUGCUUUCAAA